rnacentral:tRNA from 1 species
GCUGACGUAGUUUAUAGUUAGAAUUGUGCUUUGUCUAAGCUUGGGAGGGAUUUGUUUGCCCCGUUGGUU